AAGAUGGGCCGGAAGAGAGCUUGCAAUGGGAUGAAAAUGUCUGCAAUUGCUAACAUUUUAAAACGUUGUCAUAUGUUUUCAUUUGAGAAUGUAGCGUUGUUAUCGAGUGUUGACACAACCUGAAGACACCGGUUGACGGGUUUCUAGUACUUUUCUGCAACCCGAUGCCUAGAGCCCAUGAUAAGGGCUCUCUCCCGCACCCGACCGGAAGCGGAAGUCUUGUUCCGUGGUUGCCAAGCACCUGCCUUAGGGGUAAUCUUUGACUGUUCCUUUUGUCAGGACUACUCCCAAACCGGCUAGCAUGCGGCUGUGAUUACCGGAGACAUAGAACCCACCACAAGGCUGUCCGAGACUACUGAAUUGCAAUUGGUCCCAGGUGCCUGCUUCACGAAAAUCCCCGACUCUGUUUCAGCUUCAUCUUGGCACCGUGUUAGCCCUGCCUAAUUUAACAUGAAAGCUACAUGCAACGUCUGAAUUCAACAUUGUUAAGUCCAAAUACAUUUGCCAAAAACUACAAACAGACCGAAUAGCUGCUAAACAACUAAUCCUGUCACUUCGCAUCAGGAUUGCACAGCAUUAAUGAGGAACAGAUCGGUCUCUCUUCUUGAAAGCAUUUUUCAAAUAAAGAUUAUGACGAUUUAAAAAUAGAUGGCACUCGCUGAAGCACAAAGAGAUACUUUGAGGGCUCCGACCUCUGUCCUGCUACGCCAAGAAAAGCGAGUGUGGCCGCCUUCUAAGUCCCAGCGACCCGGAGCCCCAGAAACGGACCUCACUUGUUGCAUCCCAGACUUCCCUGCGAAAUUGAAACCGACUGCCCCAAUCUACCUGAAAUCUGGGCUUUGUGCGCACUGCCUGAAGUUGGAAGCAGACGGGACUACACAGGAGAGCAGGAUGGUCAUGGACUUGUCCUCCUCCCGUUCCCUUCCUCAGCGCCACAGUCAGCCUAAUUCACCAAAGGACUGACUUUCCCCUAGCUCCGGAGACAUAGAUCUCAACUAACCAGGAUGGAGGCUCAAGUUGACAGAAAGCUGGAGCUUGAAUUCUAGCCUAUUAUAAUAAUAGCAUGCAUUUAUGGUUUGCCAAGUGCUUAGCAUGUUAUCUGAUUUGAUCCUCACAACAGUUUUGUGAGUUAUUAUUAUCCCCAAUUUACAGAUGAGGAAACUAAGGCUAAGAGGGGUUAAGUGACUUGCUCAAGAGUCACACAGCUGGAACAAACUAGAACAAACUAAAUGAUGGUGAUGGGAUACUAUUGUGCUAUAAGGAAUGAUGGACUGCUUGAGUUCAGAAAGAGCUGGGAAGACCCAUCUGAACGGAUGCAGAGUGAAAUAAUCAGAACCAAGAGAACAUUAUAUACAGUAACUGCAAUACUGUGGACUGAUCAAAUGUGAUCGACUGCUACUAACAACAAUGCAAUGACCCAGGACAAUUCUGAGGGACUUAUGAGAAAGAACACUAUCCACAUCCAGAGGAAGAACUGUGGGAGCAGAAAUUCUUGAUGACAGGCACUCAGACCAUUGCUAGACCCAGAACUAAAGCUGUUCCAGUUUGAAAGGACUCUGCCAGAAAUUGUCUUCCAUUGGCUUAAUUUGCAAAAGUUCAAAGUCUCUUGCUUCCAGAUUUCUGAGUCAGGCACUUUGGACCAAAUUCUGACUGAUACAUUCUAGCUGGGUUCAGUUCAUCCAGUGGGUCAAGGCUUGAGCUACUACUGAGGCAGCUUCCUGGUCUUCUAAGAAAAAAAAAUCAAAAAAGAGCCAACCUAGUAGGACCACUAAGAACAACUGCCCUUCAGAUUUGAUGGACAUAGUAGAGUCAGCUCGCUCCACCAAAGCCAAGACAGGAAGAGAAAGAGACAGAGAUGGACUUCCACCCAAUUUAUAUCCUGUCUACGUCAUCACGUAACAACAGGAAAAACAAACCCAGUGGCUUUUGGAAGAAGAAGCACCUACCCUCUCUGUGGAGUUCAGAGCCAGGAUUGGAGGAAGCCUUGCCUUCAUCUCUUGACUGGGCAGCUGCUAGACUACUCCAGCUCAUAGCUUUUUGGGACCAGAACUUUGUCUGCUAGGCUGACACAUGGAAGUCCAGCAUCUUUCCCAUUAAGUUUACCAUUUACCAUCAGCCAGAACUUAGAAAGAUGAGAUAAUGUAUGAUCAAAGGAUCGGUGCCAAAUAAAAGUUUCCUUGCACUGGG